AUUGAACGCUGGCGGCAUGCUUUACACAUGCAAGUCGAACGGCAGCGCGGGGCAACCUGGCGGCGAGUGGCGAACGGGUGAGUAAUACAUCGGAACGUACCCAGAAGUGGGGGAUAACGUAGCGAAAGUUACGCUAAUACCGCAUACGUUCUACGGAAGAAAGUGGGGGACCUUCGGGCCUCAUGCUUUUGGAGCGGCCGAUGCCUGAUUAGCUAGUUGGUGAGGUAAAGGCUCACCAAGGCGACGAUCAGUAGCUGGUCUGAGAGGACGACCAGCCACACUGGGACUGAGACACGGCCCAGACUCCUACGGGAGGCAGCAGUGGGGAAUUUUGGACAAUGGGCGCAAGCCUGAUCCAGCAAUGCCGCGUGAGUGAAGAAGGCCUUCGGGUUGUAAAGCUCUUUUGUCAGGGAAGAAACGGCUGAGGUUAAUACCUUUGGCUAAUGACGGUACCUGAAGAAUAAGCACCGGCUAACUACGUGCCAGCCGCCGCCGUAAAAC
rnacentral:rRNA from 1 species